CACCUUUGACAUCCCGUGCUAUCUAGAGAGAUCUAGAGUCCCUUCGGGGCGCGGAGACAGGUGCUGCAUGGCUGUCGUCAGCUCGUGUCGUGAGAUGUUGGGUUAAGUCCCGCAACGAGCGCAACCCUCGCUUCUAGUUGCCAGCAUUUAGUUGGGCACUCUAGAGGAACUGCCUGCGCUAAGCAGGAGGAAGGCGGGGAUGACGUCAAGUCCUCAUGGCCCUUACAGGUGGGGCUACACACGUGCUACAAUGGCGGUGACAAAGGGAUAAUCCCUAAAAGCCGUCUCAGUUCGGAUUGUCCUCUGCAACUCGAGGGCAUGAAGUUGGAAUCGCUAGUAAUCGCGGAUCAGCACGCCGCGGUGAAUACGUUCCCGGGCC
rnacentral:rRNA from 1 species